UGACCUUGUAACGCAGCACAGUGUGUGGAAGGGCAUAAAUUUCCACUGUUUUCAGCCCUGCUGCAUUUUCACUGAAGACUUCCAACAAGAACAUGAAGUUGGGAGGCCUCCUCCUCCUUGUGACCCUCAUCACCCUCAGCUUAGGGGUACAGGAGCUUCAGGCUCAAGUGGAACGGAAGCACCCCUUGGGUGGAUCAAGACCCGGAAGAUGUCCAACGGUGCCUCCAGGAACUUUUGGACAUUGUGCUGAAUUGUGCACAGGAGAUGCAUCUUGUCCCAAGGGACAAAAAUGCUGCAGCAACGGUUGUGGCCAUGUCUGCCGAACUGCUGUUUAAGCCGAGGAAGACUUCUUUAUCCAUUUGGAUGAGCCAUGAACCUUAGCCUCCUUCAGUGACCACUCCCAAAUGUCAUCUUUAUUCCAACACCCUGGAGGAGAACAGCUUUCCUACUAUCUUUUCCUGCCUGCUCUCUAUUCCUGGAACCCCUGUACCACGACAGGAGGAUAUAAAAUAACUUUGGCUUAGAUGCUCGGUUCUGGCAAUUGUGUGAGGAAUCAUGGAGUGACUGCUUCCAAGAUUAACCUUCUUCUGAAUAAAAUUAUUUCUGUUGCAUUAA